CAAAGCUACCAGGAAGACAGCUCGCGUCAAGUCGCUCUCACACACUUUUCCUAGCACGCCCGCUUACCCCGCGUGCGGUUCUUUGUGGUUUCAUUGCACCUGGACUUUAUGUGGAGCAUCACGCAAUGGCGAUUUUCUACACGUGGUGUCUUUGUAAAUGCUGUCAAAAGAGAGACAUCGAGUUUGUUAGCCUUCACUGCAAGAUAGGAAGAAAUGGAAGCCGGUAAUACUUCAAGAUACCGUUUUUCAUGGUGCUCACGCUGGACAGGAGCGACCACCUAGCAAGCCAGAAGUCUGAUGCCUCAAGCCGUCACCACUUUUUGAUUAUUCUAAUCACAAGGAAUAAUAUGGAAAA
rnacentral:lncRNA from 1 species